rnacentral:miRNA from 1 species
AUAAUCACCUUAUCUACGGGG